AACGAACGCUGGCAGCAUGCCUAACACAUGCAAGUCGAACGAGACCUUCGGGUCUAGUGGCGCACGGGUGCGUAACGCGUGGGAACCUGCCCUUAGGUUCGGAAUAACUCCCCGAAAGGGGUGCUAAUACCGGAUAAUGUCUUCGGACCAAAGAUUUAUCGCCUUUGGAUGGGCCCGCGUUGGAUUAGCUAGUUGGUAGGGUAAAAGCCUACCAAGGCGACGAUCCAUAGCUGGUCUGAGAGGAUGAUCAGCCACACUGGGACUGAGACACGGCCCAGACUCCUACGGGAGGCAGCAGUGGGGAAUAUUGGACAGUGGGCGAAAGCCUGAUCCAGCAAUGCCGCGUGAGUGAUGAAGGCCUUAGGGUUGUAAAGCUCUUUUACCCGGGAUGAUAAUGACAGUACCGGGAGAAUAAGCUCCGGCUAACUCCGUG
rnacentral:rRNA from 1 species